rnacentral:rRNA from 1 species
UACGUAGGGGGCAAGCGUUGUCCGGAAUCAUUGGGCGUAAAGAGCGUGUAGGCGGCCCGAUAAGUCCGCCGUGAAAGUCCAGGGCUCAACCCUGGAAUGCCGGUGGAAACUGUCGGGCUGGAGUCCGGAAGAGGCGUGUGGAAUUCCUGGUGUAGCGGUGAAAUGCGCAGAUAUCAGGAGGAACACCAAUGGCGAAGGCAGCUCGCUGGGACGGUACUGACGCUGAGAACGCGAAAGCGUGGGGAGCAAACAGG